CAGGGGCGGCUCAACAUAUUUGGAGGCCUAAAGCUAAAAAUUAAAAUAUAAUUAUUUAAUUAAAAUUUAUAUAAAUUUUUUAUUAAAAUUUUAUUUUUCUAACUUUUUGAGAUGCAAAAUUUUUAAUCAAAUUUUUAUAAUCAAGUUCUCCUAAUAUUUCUUUUUCAAUUGAUAAUAUAGCCAAUCCAUUUAAUCUUUCUUGAGA
rnacentral:lncRNA from 1 species